rnacentral:misc_RNA from 1 species
UGGCCCACGAAAAUAAUUAAUUUGACGUUUUCGAGUACUCAAGUCAGCUGAACAAUGCAUUUUAUUUAUUUUUCUUUGUAAAAAAAAGGAAAUUAACUCAUCUUAAUAGAAUCGCUUCGCUGAUCAGUACUAAAAAUGUUAUUUUCUAUAUUUAAAUUGUGAUUGUUACCGUGGUUUGUGCUAAUACAGUGCUUGUAAACCUUUGUUAUUUUUUUGUCACUGAGAUUGCUUGAGGAAUGUUUGGCAGACCUAGGUGUAGGGAAUGGACUCCGCUGGCCACCCAGCAGCUGCGAUUACGUAGCUUAAUACAGAUAGUGGGCUACAACAUAAGACCCCCUGAAUGGUGCACUUCUCCGUGCAGCUUCUAUCUGACGCUGCAUCACACUACCAUGUCGGCACCGUUCUAUACCAGUGAGAGAAUUUGUUCUCCACACCCUAAGUGGAAGGAGAUUGACUCAGAAUCGACGCAUCGUAUGUCGUCUACCAAUGUCGUUAUUCGAAUUUGGUGCCACAUUUUACACCCAAAUGACGAAAAUACAAAACUACCCCAAGAUACUGUUAUACAGACAUGGGGCGUUUACUUCAGUGGUCUCAGAUACAUAGGGGCAAAUCUAGCUUCAAAUUUCACCUCAGACUGCUUCAAAAGCAACACAUUAGUUCUACAAAUGCAUGGUGGUUAUUUCUGCUCAUAUAAAAGCCUCAAACUAGACGUUAUGCCACCAGAAAAUGAGUUGGAUCCUGGUUCUUUAUCUUCAGAUUCGUCUGGUAGGACCAAUUUAUCCAAAAUCAAUUUAGAACCUAAACAUAUAUUGAAUCAUAAGUUAGGUAAAGAAUCGAGGUCCAUUUCUCCUAGUAAGUUUAGUAGGAAGUCGGAUAAGGAGUAUUCAAAAAGUCACAGUCCGGUCGAGAGGGGUUUUCAGCAGAACUUCCCAACUUUAAGGACGUCAGCUAGCUUAAACAUCGGUCAGAGUCAACGAGAUUACUUUAGGAGAAGAGAUGAAAGUUCGGAAUAUGGUAAAGGCGAUCCAAACGCUUCGAACCAUAUAUACGAACAUUCGCCCGAAAAUUUAGACGUUAAAGAAUACACAUCAAGCGUAAACUGUGAUAAUGUUUGUAAAAACACGACGAAAGAAGAUUUAUCUUGUAACGUAGACUUAAGUGAAACGGCAGAGAGUUAUGACUUGAGAAAUGAAGCGGACGGGGUCCCAAAAUACAGGUAUAUGGCCCUGAAUUUUCUUAAAUCGGAAAUAAGGCCGAGUUACAACGCGACGAAGUUGCAAAAAUUGCAUUUGCUUCAAUACUCUAUUAAGAAAAGACAGGAGGCUGUGCAAGAAAUUAAGGAGAGGAUAUAUAAGAAGUCUGCUUUGACAAGUGAUGAUUGGCCGUCUCAGGACGAGGCUGGUGAUGUCAGGAUGAAGUUCAAGAGUAAAUCGCAGAGGAAUUUGUUCUCCCCUGAUGAUGGGGAUAGUUUAGAUAAAGAUAAGUCUUCGUCACAAACUGAUUUGAGUGUGAAGAAUGGAAGGGUAAAGGAAGACCGGCCUGUCGUGUCCAAUGGGCCGAGACUCACUCUAAAAUUGAAUGAUCUCUUAUCUUUUAAGUCAAAACCUUCGCCUUUUCAACGAGCAGAACACGUAAGGCUAACAAAACAAUUGGAAAUCUUGAGGUUCAAGCGAAUUAUAUUAUCAGAUGAAAGGGAUAGUAAACUCACAAAUAUAAGAAAACUGAAAGAAAAGCAUGCUAAACUGUUCGAAGAGAAUCAGGAUGUUGGUGAGUGCACAGAAUUAAUGCAGAACUACCACUCGCUUUCCCGUCGCAAUGACAGCGUGAAGGAGACUCGACAGUCGUGCUCCGCCGUGCGAGAGCUAGCCGCCUCCUCACACCACUCGCUCUCCGCACAGAGGACUGAGCUGCUGAGGCAGUUGCAUCAGAUAUUCUAUAUAGAACAGAGAGACGCAACAACAUGGACUAUAAUCGGGGUACCUCUUCCCGUAUGUGGUGACGAGUCUCCCCGGGGUACGAACCCUAUCUCCGACUCCGUGGCUGCGGGCUUCGCGGCUCAAGCGACCUGCCUAGCCGCUUCGUUGUUACAUCAGCCCUUGCGAUAUAAGAUUACUCUGCUGGGGUCGGCUAGCAAGAUCUUGGAUAUAACGCCUGAUUUGCCUGAUCCGAACAUCCCACUAUUCGCUCGCGGCGGCGACAUCACACUAUUUCGCUACGCAUUAUUCCUUCUCAACAAGUGUAUCGGCCAGCUGGUCGUCGGCCGAGGCUUGCCGCUGAGCGAUAUUAGACCGACACUAGCUAACCUACAGAGGCUGCUUAAUAGUUCUGCUAAUAUGUCGGAUACCACAAAAUUGUUCGGCUCAUACCGAUGGCUGGUCGACAGUCAGUGUCCACGAACUCAGUCGCUGAGGAGUCUCGUCGCGUCAGAGCGCUGCAAGUAUCGACAGUUCAAUAGAUUUAAGGAUGCUGUAGACGGCCAAUCCCCGCAGUCGGCUAUGAAUAAAAAGCAUCGACAUUCGCGUAGUGUGGGGAGCUAUCAUGAUGAUCAGGAGCUCCCAACACUAGAAGACUCAACAACUUCGAUAAUGGGCAGCGAAUCCAACAUAUACAACAUGAAACUAACGCAAGUCGACAACUCGGACUUGACCAAAAGCCUCAAGUCUCACAAUUCUGACUCAGAAAUACUCAGACUGAACGAAAACGAACAAAGUCAGACCAAAGUAGUGUUUACCUUAGGCGAUAAUUCAACUAUCGAUGUUAGCCAGCAACUAGUAAGAUUAUCGACAAACAACCAAGAUGAGUUCAUCACAUCACUGGUUGGUGAAAAUGUAAAAAAAAUAUGUACGGAAAUUACAGAUUUUUGCUCAGCAGACAAAAUACAUGAAGGUUUAGACAUUGCUAAGCAUUUAGAAUUAGAUUUAGCGAAAAGUGUUGAAGAUAUCGAUAUAGCGGAGUAUUUAGAGAAAAAAGCAAGUACGGAAGACUCGACCGUUUGUGAUGAAACUUGUGCGGAAGUAGUAGAUGUUAUUGUUAUACCGAGUGCCGAAGCUAUAUUGGAUACAGGGCAAACUAGUAUUUUAGAAGUCGAUACUGUUCAAAAUGAUGCAAAAUAGUCUGAAAGUUCUUUUUCUGAUGGAAAAAAUUGGUUAUCUGAAAUAUAUGGUAUAGUUAUCGGCACGAAUCUUGACCUCUGACCUUUACCUGCGCAGAAGUAAUGUAUUGGGUCUCUUUUGUGGUAUGAAGUGAGGCGCGGGGGCGGGCUAAAGCGGUGAUUGGCCCGCAGUGCAUCGCGUCAUAGCCGUCACUCGGGAUUGGUUCUUUGCAGUGGCGGCUGUACCUUAAGUGCACUCGUGCGCUGAACCACCAAUUCAAAAGAUUUAACAAUUACAACAUUUUACUUUAUCUUUAUUUUUAAAUUACCAUUUCAUUUUACAUACAUUUAUUAUACAAAAACGUAUAAAAAAUUAAAUUUCCAAUUAUGGUCAAAAAGUUGGAGCGCUUUACUAAACUAAUAUCGUGCGCUCCGACGAGCGCACGAGGACUGCUAAUACAUCUUGUAUGAGAUACGAAUGAAUACGCCUGACGCGUGAAACAAAAAAUAGUUCAUAGAAAUGUACCGAGUAAUGAGUCGGUUCCCGAGCGCCGCACGCACGUACCGAAGAUUACCGAGAGCACCCGAUCUAUGACGAAUUGGGCCGGCCGGCAUGGGCGCGAGGCGACGGCAGCCAUGAUUGAUUGACAACUCUGCAUGUGCGACGCGUUAAUUAUUGAUAACUAUUUCCGUAAUUGUUUUGAUUCUAUAAUUGAACUUUUGUUAUAAUUGAACUUUUUUAUUCUGUACUGUGUUAAGUAUCAGUUGAAAUGAGUAUAAACAUUGAUUAUAUUAAAGAAAAUAACAAAAAUUUUCAAAGUAAAUUGAACAUAAAAUUGGCCGGACCGCCACGGCCCUUUUUAAGUGAUGAUUUAAUGUAUAAAAAAUAAACAUAUUUUAUAUCAAUUGUUGUUUUGUGGAAUUUUAAGAUUUUAGUCAUGUGCACCACCAGUUCGAUAACCCACCAGCCGCCACUGGUUCUUUGCUAAUAAAUCACUUCUGCGCAGAUGAAGGUCAGAGCUCAAGAUUCGUGCCGAUAACUAUACUAUUACCUCAUUACUUUGAUCUUGUCCUACAGUGUUAAUCUUGGACUUUCUUGUGAAAAGUCAUGUAAAAGCAAUUUAAAUUGAAAUACUAACAUCGGUAAAUACAUAGAUUCUUCUAUAUUUCGUUGAGGUCCAAGAUUUUGACCAAAUAGGAUAAAAUCAAUAAAAUGAGUAUGGAAAUAAUGAAGGAAAUAAAAUCGAUAUUUGAAAAGCCAAAUUUAUGACAGAAUUCGUCCAAAAUAUGGAUUUUUGGGACAUUUUUGUUUUAUUAAAAAUAUAUGGUUGUCAAGUAUGUGAUAGAAUUUCCUAUGCAAAUGACAAUAUUAUAAUGAAUUGAAAAAUACAUUUCAAUUUUGACCAAUAUGGCGGCCAUGAUGUUUAUGUAAGUAGGUUUUGUAUUGAAAAAUAUUUGUUAAAUACCUUAACUUAUUUUUCACAUGGUUAAUUUUGCAAGAUUAUUUUAUUACAUCCCUACUAAUAUUAUAAAUGCGAAAGUAACUCUGUCUGUUUGUCACACUUUCACGUCUAAACCACUGAACUGAUUUGAAUAAAAUUUGGUACAGAGAUAGAGUUGACCUUGAGAAAGAACAUAGGAUAGUUUUUAUCCCGGACUUUUGAAGAAUUCUCUUGGAAACGCGAUAUAACCGAAGUCUACGAGGGCGAAGCCGCGGGCGGAAGCUAGUGAAGCUAUAUAAUGUUUUUUUAAGACUUACCUAGACAAAUAUUCUGAUAGACUCAAAUCUAUUAGAAAAUAGUCUGAUUUGUAAUCAGCAUUAUUUAGUUCAAGACUCCUUCAAGAAUCAAUUUAUCUAAAAACUGCAUGCUUUACCUUUUUUUCAAAAGAUUUGUUUUAUAAUAAGAAUGUAGUAAUACAAAAAAAUACUAAAUAUUCUCCAUGAAUGAUCCAUGAUCAAUUAUACUGCCAUUUACAACAAGCCCAGUGAAGUAUGCGUAAAAUAUCGAUGUCGAUAAAAUGUGUCGAUGUUUUGUAUCGAAAUUGAAAACUGGCCAAUUUUGAUUAUAGAUUAAUUUUCCUUUCAUUGUAUUUAUCUGUAGAUUAAUUUCCGUUUUUUUGGUAUGCACAGUUGUUAAGUAUCGACAGUGCAGUGUUUUUCCCUUCAAAGUUUUAAUUUAAAUAGGCAUAUAUACACACUCGCUUUUAAUAGUGAUGUCCAUUUGUAUCUUUUCGUAUGUCGAUAAGUUACUGUAAGCCUGGCAUAAGUUUUAUGUUUGUUUCAGUCGAUAACAUAUAUCGAUAAAUGAAACCGAAUCAAACCUAAAAUGAAGCUUAGGACCACAAGAAUGUUAGUCACAUUCACUUACAUUUGGAAUGUCUCUAUUUUAUUUCCUUAAGUUAAUAAUGGAAACCGGGAUAUAUCUUAACCCUAGUUCACAGACGCUAGUGAUUAUUUAUAUUUUUUUAAUGCAUCAGUCUUAUGAACUCGUUCAUAAUUACAUACGAAAUCGGGACUGAAAAUUGGUUAUGUCACAAUUAAAUAUUCAUCGAUAAAAUUAUCGAUAUCGGUGCUAGACCGUGUCAAACACUAGAUGAUGAUCAUCAUCAUCUGCCUAGCCUUUUCCCAACUAUGUUGGGGUCGGCUUCCAGUCUAACGGCAUGCAGCUGAGUACCAGUGUUUUACAAGGAGCGACUGCCUAUCUGACCUCCUCAACCCAGUUACCCGGGCAACCCGAUACCCCUUGGUAAGACUGGUGUCAGACUUACUGGUAGAUGAUGAAUGAUUGAUGCAAUAAAAAGAAUAAGAAUCGUGUUCAUUGUCAAUAAUGAUGAAUCGAAAUAAAAUAGAGUGAUGGUUUGCCAGAAUCCAAAAAUAAGAAGACUUUUUAGAAAGGGUUUUUGCGGAUUCCUUAAUAUAAAUGAGCCAUAUAUAUCUUGGACUUGGUUACGUCUUAACUUCAGUGAUGUUAAAACUUUCAGCAAUAAUUCGUUCUAAGGUUAUAACAUAUAAAACUGAUAAUUCCUACUUAAAUAAAAAUUAAAUUUUUGUCCGGAUUUUUGUUGAAUUUAAAACCUGGAUAAUGUUAAAAGUUAUAUAACGUACCAUCCGUUUUCCCGCGGUUUCAACCGCUUUCCGUGGGCACUACAGCCUGUACCGGGAUAGAAUAUAGCCUAUGUUACUCGGGAAGAGUGUAGCUUUUCAACAGUGAAAGAUUGUUUCACAAACAAAAAAUGUUUCCUUUAUUAUAAUUAGUAUAGAUUUAAGAAAAUUUAAUUUUAUGUUAGUUUUCUUCAUCCCGUGAACACCACUGAAGUUAAGUUUUGUCGAAAUAACGAAAUAAUUCGUAUUUAGGUACAUCGUGCCUAUAUAUAAUGUCUUGUAAAAAUGUAUGUAAAUUGUAAAUAUAUAUUGGAUACUCUACUUGUACUGCGUCUUUCAUAAUCGGCUGUUGUUAUAAUUAAAUAUUUAUUUCAACCUCUA